rnacentral:rRNA from 1 species
GGGGAAUUUUCCGCAAUGGGCGAAAGCCUGACGGAGCAAUACCGCGUGAGGGAAGACGGCCCAUGGGUUGUAAACCUCUUUUUUCAGUGAGGAAACAAAUGACGUGUAGCUGAAGAAUAAGCAUCGGCUAACUCCGUGCCAGCAGCCGCGGNUAAGACGGAGGAUGCAAGUGUUAUCCGGAAUCACUGGGCGUAAAGCGUCUGUAGGUGGUUUAAUAAGUCAACUGUUAAAUCUUGAGGCUUAACUUCAAAAUCGCAGUCGAAACUAUUAGACUAGAGUAUAGUAGGGGUAAAGGGAAUUUCCAGUGGAGCGGUGAAAUGCGUAGAUAUUGGAAAGAACACCGAUGGCGAAGGCACUUUACUGGGCUAUUACUAACACUCAGAGACGAAAGCUAGGGUAGCAAAUGGGAUUAGAUACCCCAGUAGUC